rnacentral:rRNA from 2 species
GACUCUCGGCAACGGAUAUCUCGGCUCUCGCAUCGAUGAAGAACGUAGCGAAAUGCGAUACUUGGUGUGAAUUGCAGGAUCCCGUGAAUCAUCGAGUUUUUGAACGCAAGUUGCGCCCGAAGCCGUCAGGCCGAGGGCACGCCUGCCUGGGCGUCACGCAUCGCGUC